GACGAACGCUGGCGGCGUGCUUAACACAUGCAAGUCGUACGGUAAGGCCCUUUCGGGGGUCCACGAGUGGCGAACGGGUGAGUAACACGUGAGUAACCUGCCCACAACUUUGGGAUAACGCUAGGAAACUGGUGCUAAUACUGGAUAUGUGCUCCUGCUGCAUGGUGGGGGUUGGAAAGCUCCGGCGGUUGUGGAUGGACUCGCGGCCUAUCAGCUUGUUGGUGGGGUAGUGGCCUACCAAGGCGGCGACGGGUAGCCGGCCUGAGAGGGUGACCGGCCACAUUGGGACUGAGAUACGGCCCAGACUCCUACGGGAGGCAGCAGUGGGGAAUAUUGCACAAUGGGCGCAAGCCUGAUGCAGCAACGCCGCGUGCGGGAUGACGGCCUUCGGGUUGUAAACCGCUUUCAGCAGGGACGAAGCUUUUUGUGACGGUACCUGCAGAAGAAGUACCGGCUAACUACGUG
rnacentral:rRNA from 1 species